UACGUAGGUGGCAAGCGUUGUUCGGAAUUACUGGGCGUAAAGGGCGCGUAGGCGGUCUUGUAAGUCCUGUGUGAAAUCCCUCGGCUCAACUGAGGAACUGCACGGGAAACUGCUUGGCUUGAGUUCGGGAGAGGGAAGCGGAAUUCCGGGUGUAGCGGUGAAAUGCGUAGAGAUCAUGAGGAAGACCAGUGGCGAAGGCGGGUCUCUGGACAGUUCCUGACACUGAGACACGAAGGCCAGGGGAGCAAACGGG
rnacentral:rRNA from 1 species